rnacentral:lncRNA from 1 species
CACGCCUCCUCCUCCCGGUCUCCUCCUCCCCGAGCCCGGCGCACCGAGCCGGCCGUGCCACCGAGCUGCGGCUCUGGCCCCGGCACCGCGGGUGCGCUGCGGAUGGGCUUGGGGCGCACCCAACGAGCAGCGAGAGUCGCGGUGUCCCGGGCGCCCGCUGGCACCGUGGCCGCAGCGGCCGGCCUGGGAGCCAGGAGGGCGAGGCGGCUGCACCUUCGGGGCCAGAUUGGAGUUCGAAGAGUGGCGGGUACCCCAGCAGCUCGGGGCCGGGGCGAUGGCUGCAGCCUCGGGAGGGUAUCGCCGGAUCGAACUCCGGGAAAGGGAAGCAAAGGCAUGGAACCUCCGCACACUGGAUGAGAAUCCAUCUUCCACUCGAGCUGGGAAUAGACUUUGUAAAAGAUAUUAUGUAAUGGAGUCUCGGGAACCCUGAGACCUCUCCAGCGAAGCUGAAGUGAAUUAAUUAAGUGCUUUAAACGGUCUUGGUGCUGUGUUACGGGAGGGAGUGACUGGAAAGUAACAAAGCUGAAUCUUUCUCCCUGGAGUAAGGCCGAAGACUGGAUUACUACACGCCUAGACGUGACACUACACCCAUAGAUCUCAUGCAUCAUUAAUGCCAUAUGACAUUGCCGUUUUCUUUCUCAGUUCACGGACAAAAGUGGUGGGUUUUCAUUGUCUUCAUUGAUUAUCAAUGCAUUAAUAAAGAAGAUGUGUGGUA